CCUACGGGAGGCAGCAGUGAGGAAUAUUGGACAAUGGGCGCAAGCCUGAUCCAGCCAUGCCGCGUGCAGGAAGACGGUCCUAUGGAUUGUAAACUGCUUUUAUACAGGAAGAAACACUCGGACGUGUCCGAACUUGACGGUACUGUAUGAAUAAGCAUCGGCUAACUCCGUGCCAGCAGCCGCGGUAAUACGGAGGAUGCAAGCGUUAUCCGGAAUCAUUGGGUUUAAAGGGUCCGUAGGCGGUCAUAUAAGUCAGUGGUGAAAGCCCAUCGCUCAACGAUGGAACGGCCAUUGAUACUGUUUGACUUGAAUUAUUAGGAAGUAACUAGAAUAUGUAGUGUAGCGGUGAAAUGCUUAGAGAUUACAUGGAAUACCAAUUGCGAAGGCAGGUUACUACUAAUAUAUUGACGCUGAUGGACGAAAGCGUGGGGAGCGAACAGGAUUAGAUACCCGUGGUACGUCCACGCGUAAACGAUGGAUACUAGCUGUUCGGAGNAUNUGNGUGAGAGAGAAGUAGAUAAGUACUCCGACCGUACGGGUAGGUACGUUACGUACGAAGAAGUAGAACGUAACGUAAAGGUAAGUUAGGUACGGACGUUAGAGACGACGACCGGACGGACGACGACGGAGGGAGGAG
rnacentral:rRNA from 1 species